rnacentral:ncRNA from 1 species
AUAGAGAGACUAAUCGUUCAUAUGACUUGGGUAUAGGGGAACAAUACUAAUCAAACCAUCUAAUAGCUGGUUUCCUCCAAAGUUUACCCCAAGAUAGCUGGAGCUCACGUGUGAGUUUUAUCAGGUAAAGAAAAUGAUUAGAGGCAUCGGGGGCGUAACGCGUUCGACCUAUUCUCAAAAUUUAAAUAGGUAAGAUGGUAUGAUUGCUCCAUUGAGCCAUGUAAUGGAAUUGAGAGCUCAAAGUGGGUCAUUUUUGGUAAGAAGAAUUGGCGAUGCGGGAUGAACCGAAAGUCGAGUUAUGGUAACUUCCCCACAACUUGUCGAUUUUUGGCCUUUCCAGGAGAUCUCACUUGUAUAGUGUGACCCACACAAAAUAAUUGAUAUAAAAUUAUGAAACCCGCAUAAAAAAUACUAAGGACUGUCCAUGAUCCAAUGAAACCAUUCCCACACAAUUUGGAUACUCUAGGAAGAAGUUAUGAUUGUUUUACCUAGAACACCUUCUUGAGACUAG